CACAGACUUCAGGAGCCAUGGAGAACCUGCUUCUCUUUGGCUGGAUUUGCUUCAUAAAGCCUUUUCCAUGGCAACAGGGAAGUACUUGGAAAGUACUGCAGCUGACACUGUGAAAAAUAUCACCUCUCUCAAGAGGAUCGUACAUUUGCUUUGCCUACAAAGAGAAUGGCUGCAAGAAUUUCUCCCACUUUGAGUUAGAAGAGCAGCACAUUUUAAGAGUGAAACUCAAAGGAAUCCCCAAUAAAACUGACUGGCUGGACAAGGCUUCGGACCCAGUACAGCCCCCAGAGUCGGGGAGUCUGCCCCGCGACAGGACCCUCACCCGAGUUUGCUGAGGGCCUUGGGUGCACCCUGGGCGCUGAGGAUUACGUGAAGUGCGUAGAGUGGACCCGGCUGUCAUCCCCCAACUGCCCUUCUCCACUGCGCUGACCUCGCUACUGAAGAGGUGGUCAUUCCUCAGAGAAGGAUGUUCUCAAAAACUAAUCUUCCUGUUGCCUGGGCAGUGCCUUAUCCCCCUGGUUCUUAGACAGCUGUGCCGGACUGCAGCGGUGUGUGGUGUGGGUCCCAGCUGGCCACUCUAGCUCUGUGGCCGUGGGCAAGUUACCUCUCGUGUCUCGUCUGAAAAAGGAGCAUCACGUGAUGACACCUACUUGUAGGGACGUUGUGGAGACCAGAGGGACCAAUACAUGUGCUAGCUCUUAGUAGAAUGUGUUUGGGCUAUGCUGAAUAAAGUUCUUCAUGCUAAUG